AGUCGAGGGGUAUGGUUCUUCGGAACUAGAGACCGGCGCACGGGUGCGUAACGCGUAUGCAAUCUGCCUUUCACAGAGGGAUAGCCCAGAGAAAUUUGGAUUAAUACCUCAUAGUAUAGCGACAUCGCAUGAUGAUGCUAUUAAAGUCACAACGGUGAAAGAUGAGCAUGCGUCCCAUUAGCUAGUUGGUAAGGUAACGGCUUACCAAGGCAACGAUGGGUAGGGGUCCUGAGAGGGAGAUCCCCCACACUGGUACUGAGACACGGACCAGACUCCUACGGGAGGCAGCAGUGAGGAAUAUUGGUCAAUGGGCGCAAGCCUGAACCAGCCAUGCCGCGUGCAGGAUGACGGUCCUAUGGAUUGUAAACUGCUUUUGCACAGGAAGAAACACUGAUUCGUGAAUCAGCUUGACGGUACUGUGAGAAUAAGGAUCGGCUAACUCCGUGCCAGCAGCCGCGGUAAUACGGAGGAUCCAAGCGUUAUCCGGAAUCAUUGGGUUUAAAGGGUCCGUAGGCGGUCUGGUAAGUCAGUGGUGAAAGCCCAUCGCUCAACGGUGGAACGGCCAUUGAUGCUGCUGGACUUGAAUUAUUAGGAAGUAAUUAGAAUAUGUAGUGUAGCGGUGAAAUGCUUAGAGAUUACAUGGAAUACCAAUUGCGAAGGCAGGUUACUACUAAUGGAUUGACGCUGAUGGACGAAAGCGUGGGUAGCGAACAGGAUUAGAUACCCUGGUAGUCCACGCCGUAAACGUUGGAUACUAGCUGUUGGAAGCAAUUUCAGUGGCUAAGCGAAAGUGAUAAGUAUCCCACCU
rnacentral:rRNA from 1 species